rnacentral:rRNA from 1 species
GAUGAACGCUGGCGGCGUGCCUAAUACAUGCAAGUCGAGCGAAUGGAUUAAGAGCUUGCUCUUAUGAAGUUAGCGGCGGACGGGUGAGUAACACGUGGGUAACCUGCCCAUAAGACUGGGAUAACUCCGGGAAACCGGGGCUAAUACCGGAUAACAUUUUGAACCGCAUGGUUCGAAAUUGAAAGGCGGCUUCGGCUGUCACUUAUGGAUGGACCCGCGUCGCAUUAGCUAGUUGGUGAGGUAACGGCUCACCAAGGCAAAGAUGCGUAGCCGACCUGAGAGGGUGAUCGGCCACACUGGGACUGAGAAACGGACCAGACUCCUACGGGAGGCAGCAGUGGGGAAUCUUGCGCAAUGGGCGAAAGCCUGACGCAGCCACGCCGCGUGAGGGAAGAAGGCCUUCGGGUUGUAAACCUCUUUCAGUAGGGACGAAGCUUCCGGGGUUAACAGCCUACGGGGUGACGGUACCUACAGAAGAAGCCCCGGCUAACUACGUGCCAGCAGCCGCCGUAA